rnacentral:rRNA from 1 species
UCGAGCGAGAAAGGGGCUUCGGCCCUGAGUAAAGCGGCGCACGGGUGAGUAACACGUGGGUAAUCUGCCCUUGAGUGGGGAAUAACACCGGGAAACCGGUGCUAAUACCGCAUACGAUCACGAUGUUUGCGGAUGUUGUGAUGAAAGGAGCAAUUCGCUCUUGGAGGAGCCCGCGGCUGAUUAGCUAGUUGGUAAGGUAAUGGCUUACCAAGGCAACAAUCAGUAGCCGGUCUGAGAGGACGGUCGGCCACACUGGAACUGAGACACGGCCCAGACUCCUACGGGAGGCAGCAGUGGGGAAUUUUUCGCAAUGGGGGCAACCCUGACGAAGCAACGCCGCGUGGGUGAUGAAGUCUCUUGGGACGUAAAACCCUUUCGACGGGGAAGAAACCGCAAGGUUGACGGUACCCGUAGAAGAAGCCCCGGCUAACUCCGUGCCAGCAGCCGCGGUAAUACGGGGGGGGCAAGCGUUGUUCGGAAUUACUGGGCGUAAAGGGCGCGUAGGCGGUUUGCUAAGUCGAGUGUGAAAACUCUGGGCUUAACCCAGAGCCCGCAUUCAAUACUGGCAGGCUAGAGUUCUGGAGGGGAUAGCGGAAUUCCUGGUGUAGCGGUGAAAUGCGUAGAUAUCAGGAGGAACACCGGUGGCGAAGGCGGCUAUCUGGACAGAGUCUGACGCUGAGGCGCGAAAGCUAGGGGAGCAAACAGGAUUAGAUACCCUGGUAGUCCUAGCCCUAAACGAUGGAUACUUGCUGU